rnacentral:rRNA from 1 species
GACGAACGCUGGCGGCGUGCCUAAUACAUGCAAGUCGAACGCAUUUUCUUUCACCGUAGCUUGCUACACCGAAAGAAAAUGAGUGGCGAACGGGUGAGUAACACGUGAGUAACCUGCCCAUCAGCGGGGGAUAACACUUGGAAACAGGUGCUAAUACCGCAUAAUUCCAUUUACCGCAUGGUAGAUGGGUAAAAGGCGCUUUUGCGUCACUGAUGGAUGGACCCGCGGUGCAUUAGCUAGUUGGUGGGGUAACGGCCUACCAAGGCUGCGAUGCAUAGCCGACCUGAGAGGGUGAUCGGCCACACUGGGACUGAGACACGGCCCAGACUCCUAUGGGAGGCAGCAGUAGGGAAUCUUCGGCAAUGGACGCAAGUCUGACCGAGCAACGCCGCGUGAGUGAAGAAGGUUUUCGGAUCGUAAAACUCUGUUGUUAGAGAAGAACAAGGAUGAGAGUGGAAAGUUCAUCCCUUGACGGUAUCUAACCAGAAAGCCACGGCUAACUACGUG